rnacentral:lncRNA from 1 species
CAUAGGUCGAUGCCCCCCAAUUGGAGCUACGAGCAGGACAUGGAGCUGGGGCGCUUCCUGUACGACGUCACUGAGAGGGAUGAACACUGCAAGGACUGCGUUAAGGACCACCUCAAUGGCAUAGAGGUCUCCUCACAACUGGAUGACUUCAAAGUAUCCCACCUGACAGACAACCAGGGAGACACCUACUGGGAGAGCAGCGGGUCCCCUGGGCAGCAUUGGGUGC